rnacentral:lncRNA from 1 species
UGAAGUCCUGGACUAAAGUGUUGUGUCCCAAAACAUGUCACUGGGUCUUCUACCCUCAGCUGACUCAUCUGUCUAAAGGACGAGGGAGUUUACACUCAAUGUCUGGGUAUGGUGUCACCGUUGAAAGGCCAAAGAUAGGUUUUCCAGGAGUUCUGAAGUAAGUUACUAAGAGCUGGGCUUCCUUAAAAUUUAAGAGGGAGACUUUCAAUGCCAUCCACAAAGCUAAAGUUAAAAGGUGAACCUGAAAGCGUUGUGGUCCUGGCUGCAGUUCCCUUCCAAAAGACACAGUGUAAGGCCGAAGGCUUGUGGGGAGAGAAACCCAGCCAGACUGGCAGAAGCUGAGAUUUCUGAGUUUUUAGUGCUGUCUUUUCAUUUGGGGCUGUGAAAUCCAGUAAGCCUCAACCUCCACACCCCCCGAAAAUGGGAACAAAAAAUAGGAGUAGGCGCAGGUGGGAACGGGAGUUUUGAAGCAGGGGAAGUGCUGAGGGCAUACCUGAGUGCCCAACCGGCUGGCAGACCACACUGCAGACUGCAGAAGCAGUGGGUCCAUUGAAACAGCUGUGGCUGUGGCCAGAGCUCUUAAUGUCACAGGUCCCUUUGUUCCCAAUGUCACCUCCCCCAAGCAACCAAGAUAUAAAACUUUCUAACAGUC